CUCACCUUCGUUUGGCGUAAAUUUGCAGAAAAUGUGUGCAGAGCGAGUAACGCCAACUUCUCUUUGCUGUACGAUGAGGUUACUUCCUUAGCAACGUUUUUGAAAAUGAUAUGGAUGGAGGAUAGCAAGCUGCCCAUUCGAGUCUCCUGGAGUUUGGAAUGCUUCCACAUUAAAGACUUCACAAAAAAAAAUGAGAAGUUUUAGUUUAUAUUGAAAGGAUAUAGAAGUAUAUUUUUGACUGUUGAAUUUCUUGACGUUUAAGAUUUUUAUUUUUAUUUUUUUAAUGCUGGGUCUGACAUUUAUGGAUAUAUAAUUUUCUGGUAAACACAACAGAAUCAAUAUCAAAUAUGAUGAAUUUGAAGGAGAA